CGGCAGAUGGUGGUAUUGUUCGUCGAUUCAAAUUCCUAUUCUAUUUGAAUGCGUAUGCAUGCUGAAGUAUAUGAUUACAUAUAUGGUCAAAGAUAUUAAAUUUGGAAGUGAAUUUAAUUUGUAUGUGGAUUUUAUGCUGAGGCUUGUGCGAAACAUUCUUAUAUUUUUUAACAAAAUAGUGUAAGAAACGAGAUGUCCAGUUUCUUCACAAUUCGACUUAGCACGGUGUGUAGCAAUGCUUGUGUCAUAAAACAACUAAGGUUAGUAAAUUAUGUAUAUCGUUUGACAGGUAUAGGUUAGAGUAGAGGAAUAUUUACAAGGUGGUUAUUAAGAUAUCAGAGGAUCAUUCAUCCACGUAUUGCAUGUAAUAGGACAAAAGAUACGAUAAUAUUGCCUAAUUAUGCAAAUGUACUAGUUUGUUUUGUUUCAUUAGUAGUGCAUAAGUGCUUGAAAAUGCGCCAGACAUGGUGCGUAGCAUUCUUCAUUGCAAAGUAAUAUCUAUCUAUUUACCGCAGUAAGAGCAGCAUAUAAAGAGUUUUAUCAAUAAGUAAUUAAGCUGCAGCCACAUUAAAAGUUGGAUAUACAUAUUUAACCUUAUUUGCCUCUAUUGAUUUGAGUGGCUCUCAUCACCUUAAUUGGAUGAAACGGAGACAAUACGCUUGUCUCAUAACUAAGGUCAAAUAGUUAUUUGUAACAUUUGACAGGUAAAGGUUAGAGUGAAAGAAAUGUGGAAAUUGAAUGCAGUUUCUUUCUUACAAGAUAUAUCUGGAAGUAUGUUUAAGCAUUUAUUCAGACAUUGAUGAGGAAAUUAUAACAAAGAAUUUAUGGAGUAGAAAAAUUUGAUAGAUGCAGUGAACAAACUAUC